UUCCAGACUCCUACGGGAGGCAGCAGUGAGGAAUAUUGGUCAAUGGUCGGGAGACUGAACCAGCCAAGCCGCGUGAGGGAGGAAGGUACAGAGUAUCGUAAACCUCUUUUGUCAGGGAACAAAGGCGGGGACGUGUCCCCGGAUGAGUGUACCUGAAGAAAAAGCAUCGGCUAACUCCGUGCCAGCAGCCGCGGUAAUCCGGAGGAUGCGAGCGUUAUCCGGAUUUAUUGGGUUUAAAGGGAGCGUAGAUGGGUUGUUAAGUCAGUUGUGAAAGUUUGCGGCUCAACCGUAAAAUUGCAAUUGAUACUGGCAGCCUUGAGUACAGUUGAGGUAGGCGGAAUUCGUGGUGUAGCGGUGAAAUGCUUAGAUAUCACGAAGAACUCCGAUUGCGAAGGCAGCUUACCGGCGCCCAACUGACGCUGAAGCACGAAAGCGUGGGUAUCGAACAGGAUUAGAUACCCUCGUA
rnacentral:rRNA from 1 species